rnacentral:rRNA from 1 species
GUUAGUUGCCAUCAUUAAGUUGGGCACUCUAGCGAGACUGCCGGUAAUAAACCGGAGGAAGGUGGGGAUGACGUCAAAUCAUCAUGCCCCUUAUGACCUGGGCUACACACGUGCUACAAUGGUUGGUACAACGAGUCGCAAGCCGGUGACGGCAAGCUAAUCUCUGAAAGCCAAUCUCAGUUCGGAUUGUAGGCUGCAACUCGCCUACAUGAAGUCGGAAUCGCUAGUAAUCGCGGAUCAGCACGCCGCGGUGAAUACGUUCCCGGGCCUUGUACACACCGCCCGUCACACCACGAGAGUUUGUAACACCCGAAGUCGGUGAGGUAACCGUUAAGGAGCCAGCCGCCUAAGGUGGGAUAGAUGAUUGGGGUGAUGUCGUAACAAGGUAGCCG